AUUCACUGUGGUGUAUUAUUAUCGAUACAGAUCUAAUGUUAUAGAGUGUAGGUUAAGUUAUCAAACUGUGUGUACUGUGUGAUUUAACAGCUAGACCUAGUAUAGUGGAUUUAGCACACGAUAAUAAUAUAGUGAAGACGAAUUUUAUUAAACUGAAACAUGUUUGUGAUAACAGAAAAACGGGUUGUAAAAAGAACAUAAAAUAAUGCAUUAAAAUUUAUAUAACAUUCGCAGUGGAAGAGUGGUGUACCAGUUAGUUACAACAAAUUGAAGUAGAAACACUGAUCCGUAACAAACUAAUGGUGAUUCGUAACAUACUCGAACACACAGUUUAUUGUAAUGUGAAAUAUAACGCCUAGUACGAUGUGAUGUGAAAUAUAACGCAUAGUGUGAUGUGAUGUGAUAUGAAAUAUAACGCAUAGUAUGAUGUUAAACAUAACGCAUUGUAGUUGUAUAAUGUGAAACAUAACGCAUUAAAGUUUUAUAGAGUGAAAUCUAACGCAUGGCGUGUUGUAUUGCGAUAUACAACUCACAGUUUGUUGUGAUGUAAAACAUAACUCAUGAGGUCUGUAUAACCAACGCUUGUGGACCGUGAAAUAAGAAAACUGUAACAUUGUGGAUUAUGACUGUACCUGGAAAUAUUACGCGUUAUAAUGAACUGUAGUUGAAUGUAACUUUGUGGAAUAAUCCAUACUCUAAUGAAAUGUAACGGGAAAUAUUACGCAUUAUAUUGAACUGUAACGGGAAAUAUUACGCAUUAUAUAGAAACGUAAGGAGCAUAUUACGCACUCUAAUGAACUGUAACGGGAAAUAUUACGCACUGUAAUAGAGAGGAAUAUUGUUGAAUAUAUAUAAAACACGUUGUAGUGGACUGUAAUCGAGCGAGAAAUAAUUUAUUAAAUUUAAAGCACUUUAUUUGAUUUUAACGAUGUGGAUUCUAACGCACUUUAUUUGACUGUAACGCUUUGAAUUGUAAUGGGAAAUAUUACGCACUGUACUGGAUUGCUACGUAAUGUACUGAACAGCAGGACAUUUUCUGAAACCGAAAACAGCGCAACGAAUGAAAUGAAGUCCUGUAUUGUGUGGAUAUCUUUAUCAAAUCUUUAUUACGUCUAUAAAUUAUGCUGUAUACAACCCUAAGGCUGGACAGGAUUUAAAAAUCUAUAUAUAGUUGAAAUAAGUGUAGUGGUAAAUGUAACCGUGAAUGACAGUAAUAUAUACGUUAUCAAAUGUGUAAGUGCGGUGUAUGGAUUUAAAAGUCAUUUUAACAUACACGACCCGAGUUAUCCUUGAGUUUUGUUGUUUGAAUACUGACCCAUUUCGUCAACCAUUUGAAGAAGUGCACGACGAAAAGAUAAAAUAUUCGAGCGAAACCGGAUAUAAUAAGAUGAGUGUGUUUGGUCUUGUCAUCAUAUUUGUCGGAUUAUUACACAACUCACAAGGAAUACAGAAAAGAAAGAACACUAAGAAAACUAGACAACUACAAAAGUGGCCCCAGUAAUGGCGAAUAAUACCAAUUUCAGUUCUGCGCCAUUGAAUGUGACGUCAUUUCCUCCAGCUAAUUCUAGCGACAGUUCUCCGAGUCUUACGUUGUCAACACUUUCCGGGAUGUCGACGGGGAAGAACGAAUCCAAAUUUAUAAACGAUAAAUUUCCUCUGGCAGUCAUUAUCGGUAUAAUUGUAUUUUGUGGUUUGCUUGUUGCCAUGGUAGUGUUAUAUCUAGUAAAACGCAGACGUAAGGAAUCUUAUCAGAACCGACCAUUGACCUUGGCUUACAACUCUGGCAGAGAUGACUUAAUUCAAGUAGUUAAAGUUAUUCAUGGUCCUGUGGAUACUGUAAAAGAACAAAAUAAUAAUCCGACAAGCCAGACCGUCCGAAAAAAUCCACAAGUGUCUCAAACGUUCUCGUUUAAAUCACCGGAAAUAAAGGUGCAGGCGCAUGAUGAUGUCACAUAUUACAACACAGAUCAUGAAAUAAGGAAUGAUGACGUCACAUAUUACAACACAGAACGCGAAAUAAGGAAUGAUCGUCAUCAUCCGCGACGUUUGCAUUUUUCCUUUAAUUCUGCGCAAAAAGAUCAUACCGAGAAAAAUUUUCUCAACCCAGUUGAAAAUGGCGACGAUACGAACAAUUAUUACACGACUUACAAUAUAGUUCCGCCAAAUUUAGAAGAAGCUCAGAGACUUUCAGCCGAAUUAAAAUUAAAACGAGCCUCAAGACUCAAGGAUAGCGAGACUCAGUCAGAGGAUAAGAAUAGUGUGGUAGCUGAGCGUGGAGACAGCGUGCGUAGUCAAAAUUACUACAGCGAACCCAUUGAACUUUGUAUGGAUUUUGAAAAUGAAGACGAACAUGUUUACGAAAGUGUGGCGUAGCAUCGUUCAAUAACGGUUUACGAAAGUGUGGAGUAGCAUCGUUCAACAACGGUUUACGAAAGUAUGGCAGAGGAUCGUUCAACAAACUGUUAACGAAAGUGUGGCGUAGCAGCGUUCAACAAUUUUUAUUUAUUAAGAUAAUGGUUCGACCAACUUAUAAGAUUGCGUUCAUUCGAUUUUACGUUGUCUUUCAUUUAGUAAAAAAAAAGGGGUGCUCUCCCUUUAACAAAAUGGCUUAGCCAAACCACAAAGUGAACAUUUACAUAAAGAUAGAGAAAAUGAAAUUAAAUGGGGUUUUACGCCCUAUUUUCCUGCACCAUGUGUAGUAUGAGGUACAUUUUGCUCGGAAAGCAGCCCUUUCAAAUUCAUUCUGUCAAGGGUUCUUUUACCCGAACGCCAAUGUGUACACGGAAACGCGGUUUUUCUUCCUAUCCAAAAGAAUAGAUAUAUCUUCCCACCGUGCUGCAUCACUGACAAGGGGAAAACACACCGGAAUACAAUAGACAUUAAAAUAAACAGCACGCGUUGUAGUUGACAUCACAAUAGCCAGCACGUACUGUAGUUUAACAUCCAGUACGUGUUGUAGUCUCUAUGACAUUACAGUAUCCAUUACGAGCUGUAGUAAUUACGAUGUGCAGCUCGUGCUGUAGUCUCGAGACAUUACAAUGCCCAGCACGCGCCUUUAGUCCUGAGAUCUCACUUAGAUGGCUAAAGAACCACCAUUACAAUAUCCGGAACGUGGGUGUCAUAGUUUAAGUCACGCCCUAGACAUUUGUUCAUCUAGACUGGCAUCUCUUGUUUGUAAUAAAAAUUCUGUGAUUUU